rnacentral:misc_RNA from 1 species
UCAUGGGAAUACAACUUACAAUUUAAAUUGUAUGAAUUGAUAUUCUCAUGUUGCAUGUCAUUUUAAAGCUAUAUAAGAUCAAACUCAUCUUAUGAUGGGUCUCAUUUAGUAGAUCAAGUAUGCUAAAGUUAGCUUGUUUGAAAAUUGUAUCUUUGGAUAUCAUAUUUUAAGUCUUAUAGAAAUUGUGAUCCAUAAAUGUGUACCAUUUCUUGUGGGUGUCAUUAAAAUUUUUUUGUUGCUGACGUCGCAUAUAAAGUUUCGCUAAUAAAGAAAAGUUUGGUGAAGAAAACCUUGUUGGCCUAUUUGUUUUUUCCUCAUUUUAAUGCUCUCUUAUGCUGUGUUUGGGAUAUGGCUUAGAGGGGAGUGGAAGAGAAAAUGUGUUUGUGGGCCCCACAUCUUCGGAAACAAAUUUGUGGGUUCCACUGCUCAUUCUCUCCCCUUUCCCUUUCCCCCCAUCCCCAAACACACAGACUUUUGAUCUUUGGAAACAAAUCUCUGAUGUCUGUAGCAUUUGGGAACUUCAAAGCUGCUGCUCCAUUUCAAAAUGCUUAUUUAUUAGUCAUGUACUAGAGCAAUUAAAUUUCUUUAGCAUUAUAUUUUCAUUAAACUUUGUUUUGUUUAGCAUGAUACUGUGAUUGUCCUGUGGCAUUUGAAGUUGAAAUUUGUGUAGAAAAUUUGAUAGCUUGCUUCUAGAUUUUAAAAUUGUUUUUGUUUUUGAUGUUUACAGGUGAUGGCACCAAAACAGCCUAAUACUGGCCUUUUUGUGGGUCAAAAUAAAGGACAUGUAGUGACAAAGAAGGAAUUGGCUCCACGUCCUUCUGACAGAAAGGGGGUGGGUUAAUUUACUAUGGUUCAUACAUGCAGUCGACUUUAGCUUUCUUUUGCUUUCUAACCUUUUUUUUUUUUUUUUUU